UCGUACGAAGAUGUUUUUAUGCUUGCAUAAAAACAUACUGAGUGGCGGACGGGUGAGUAACACGUAAGAACCUACCUUUUGGAGAGGGAUAACCACUGGAAACGGUGGCUAAUACCUCGUAUUGCUGAGAAGUGAAAUGAUGAAUAGUCGCCAAGAGAUGGGCUUGCGGCUGAUUAGCUAGUUGGUGGGGUAAAGGCCUACCAAGGCAAUGAUCAGUAGCUGGUCUGAGAGGAUGAUCAGCCACACUGGGACUGAGACACGGCCCAGACUCCUACGGGAGGCAGCAGUGAGGAAUUUUCCGCAAUGGGCGAAAGCCUGACGGAGCAAUGCCGCGUGAAGGAUGAAGGCCUGUGGGUUGUAAACUUCUUUUCUCAGAGAAGAAUUCAUGACGGUAUCUGAGGAAUAAGCAUCGGCUAACUCUGUGCCAGCAGCCGCGGUAAGACAGAGGAUGCAAGCGUUAUCCGGAAUGAUUGGGCGUAAAGCGUCUGUAGGUGGCUUGAAAAGUCUCCUGUCAAAGAUCAGGGCUUAACCCUGGGCCGGCAGGAGAAACUCUUAGGCUAGAGUUCGGUAGGGGCAGAGGGAAUUCCCGGUGGAGCGGUGAAAUGCGUAGAGAUCGGGAGGAACACCAAAGGCGAAAGCACUCUGCCGGGCCGCGACUGACACUGAGAGACGAAAGCGAGGGGAGCAAAUGGGAUUAGAUACCCCAGUAGUCCUCGCCGUA
rnacentral:rRNA from 1 species